rnacentral:tRNA from 1 species
GCCCCCUUAGCUCAGCCGGAUAGAGCGCCGGAUCCUAAUCCGGAGGCCGGGUGUUCGAGUCACCCAGGGGGUACCA